UACGAAGGGGGCUAGCGUUGUUCGGAAUUACUGGGCGUAAAGCGCACGUAGGCGGAUCGGUCAGUUAGGGGUGAAAUCCCAGGGCUCAACCCUGGAACUGCCUUUAAUACUGCCGGUCUGGAGUUCGAGAGAGGUGAGUGGAAUUCCGAGUGUAGAGGUGAAAUUCGUAGAUAUUCGGAGGAACACCAGUGGCGAAGGCGGCUCACUGGCUCGAUACUGACGCUGAGGUGCGAAAGCGUGGGGAGCAAACAGGAGUAGAUACCCUGGUAGUCCACGCCGUAAACUAUGAGAGCUAGCCGUCGGCAAGUUUACUUGUCGGUGGCGCAGCUAACGCAUUAAGCUCUCCGCCUGGGGAGUACGGUCGCAAGAUUAAA
rnacentral:rRNA from 1 species